CAGGGAUGGAGCAGAGCAAGG
rnacentral:miRNA from 1 species